AGCGUGUGUCCAAGAGUUUUAUGAUUGUAAAGGAUGGACCUUGUCUGGGAAGAGAGUUAAAAUGCGAUGUGAGCAGCUGCGGCCAGCAGCUUCCUGUGAUGGAGAAGCUUGCAGAUGGACGUAAAUGAUCGUAUGACUGAGGAAACAAAAGGCAUACAACAUCCCAGGGCUUCUAUUUUUCUCCAAAGAGUUCACAGAAGCCAAGGCCCAUAAAUUUUAUUGCUAGAUCAGACAAAAUAGAGAGAUGUGCCCACAGCAAUACAAUAUGAGAUGUCAAGUAUUUGUUGGAAUAGAGUUGUGAACGCAAUUUUUUGGCAGUUUUUUUUAUUUCAUGAGGAGAAAGGUUUUUAGUUUAUUUAAGUUGUAUUACCUUGAAAUCUUGGAGAAAAAUUAUGAAGUGACAGAAGUCAAAAAAGCGUUAUCGAAAUUUGUUUCUUGGAUGCUUGGUCAUUUUAAAGCAGAGAAACAGUUUACAUUGAUUUUGAUAUAGAUGUUAGUCGUUUCUUUGUAAUGACUAUAAAAAUGUUAUAAUCUAUAAUUUGGAAUUAAAUUUUAUUUAAAGACACACAUCCCUCAAACCUAUCAUGUGUAAAAUCUAAGGGCUAUUAGGUAUAAGGUAUAACUCUUUUUUGGUAAUAUUCUUCUAUGACUCUAUUACUGACACGGGAGUGUGUUACAAGGUACUUUGUGUCUGAGACCCUGCUCUUUGAGGUGAUUUAAGGAUUCAUGCCACCUUGGUCUUUAUUCUGAGGAGUUACAGACUGCAAGAGAUAAUCCACACACAAAUAACAACAAAACAGCGCAGUAAGAAAGAAGUACAUAGAACGGUGCUUCUUGGUCUAAAUUGUUCAUUCUUAAACAUUAACUUUGUGAAUUCUCUCGACAAAUCUGUAGAAGAAAAAAGGAUGGAUAAUAUUGUUCUGAAUUUACCAAUGAAGGUGUAAAAUGAAAUCACCCAAGGGCACAGUCAGCAACUGAGAAAUGCAGGUUUUUGCUUCCUCCCCAUAUACCAAGUUAUACUUACAACUCAGGGGCAAGAAUGGAUAUUAUAUGCUCCUGUCAAGGUCAAUAAUCAGAGAACACUUUUGACUGGAGUCAGAAGGAACAGGUGUAUGUUAUCUAAAUGGAGUUGAGGGUAAGAACACAAGCGAAAGGACACACAUGAUAAAGUAUAAAGGAUGCUCAGUUUACUUAUAAACAACUCACUGACCGGUGUGUGAAGCACCUGGAGAGGAAUCAGGCAAGUGGCAGGGAAAGGAAGGCAGCAUGAGUCAGAUGUAGAAUGUUUGGAGGAACUUGGACACAUUUAUUCCAUGGACACUGAGCAUCAUGGGAAACAUUUCAGCAAACCACAGACAGGUCAAAUAGGUGACUUGGGAAGAGUAACGUGGAAGCAUCUUGUUGACUUACCCUGAAAGAAUCUAGCUGGUGGAGAAACUGGAGUGGAUUGGAAAUUAAUGAGGGUGAAGGGUAAGAAAGUCAACUGAGUUUAAAUAGCCACUCAACAAUGUCCCACUUUUACAUCUAAGGGUCUGCCAAUUCUUAACCAUGCCAGAUUCAAAAUCUGCUAAUCCCAGUUGGAGAGGUUGGGUUUAACAAACAUUUACCUGCCUUUCUUAAGCAAAUAAGAAAUAUAUAACAACUGAGUUUCUUUAGACAUUGCACGGAAAUUUCUUCCCUUGACAAGUGGAGGUUCCACCAGAUUCCUUUGAAGAGCCUCUCUUGGUGUCAUUCCAGGAACCCUAGAAUAAUAGGAGAACUAAGAUGGCCUCUUGAUCCCCACACUCUCAUAGGCCUUUUGAACUGCUGCCCACGAGUCUCUAAACAGUGAUAUCAGAUCUGACUUGUUUCAUUGAACUUGCUUUGUUGAACUUAUUUGGCUAUUCUACAAUUUAUUUAAAAAGUAUGUCUUUGAAGAAAGGAAUUUUUUUUUGUGAGAGUGCAACAUUUGGUAAACAUAGUCAUAGUUCAUCUUCUCAUUCUUCUACUGCUUGCUUCACUUUCAAUUUUUCUUCCUCUUUCUGUACCAAGUCUUGACUCGUGUGUUUCCAU
ensembl:lncRNA